rnacentral:rRNA from 1 species
GACGAACGCUGGCGGCGUGCCUAAUACAUGCAAGUCGAACGAAGCUGUUUUAACUGGUGCUUGCACCGACUUAAACAACUGAGUGGCGAACGGGUGAGUAACACGUGGGUAACCUGCCCCAAAGCGGGGGAUAACAUUUGGAAACAGAUGCUAAUACCGCAUAACCACAGAAACCACAUGGUUUCUGUGUCAAAGAUGGUUUCGGCUAUCACUUUGGGAUGGACCCGCGGCGUAUUAGCUAGUUGGUAAGGUAAUGGCUUACCAAGGCAAUGAAAGGUAGCCGAACUGAGAGGUUGAUCGGCCACAUUGGGACUGAGAAACGGCCCAAACUCCUACGGGAGGCAGCAGUAGGGAAGCUUCCACAAUGGACGAAAGUCUGAUGGAGCAACGCCGCGUGAGUGAAGAAGGUUUUCGGAUCGUAAAACUCUGUUGUCAGAGAAGAACGUGUGCGAGAGUAACUGUUCGUGCAGUGACGGUAUCUGGCCAGAAAGCCACGGCUAACUACGUGCCAGCAGCCGCCGUAA